rnacentral:misc_RNA from 1 species
AACGCACAUUGCGCCCUCUGGUAUUCCGGGGGGCAUGCCUGUUCGAGCGUCAUUACAACCCUCAAGCUCUGCUUGGUAUUAGGUGCCACCUGUCUGGUGCUCCUCAAAAUCAGUGGCGGUGCCAUUGGGCUUCAAGCGUAGUAAUUUUCUCGCUUUUGGAGUUCUGGUGCGUGCUUGCCAACAACCCUAAAUUUAUCAAAGGUUGACCUCGGAUCAGGUAGGGAUACCCGCUGAACUUAA